rnacentral:SRP_RNA from 1 species
AGCUGGGUCCUGCGCGCCAGAGGGUUAUGAACCCCGUCAGGUCCGGAAGGAAGCAGCGGUAGUAACCUCAUCUGGUGGCGCAGUAAACCUGGCUAUC